CUUUGUCCAUUUUUUUUUAGAUGCCUUGCGAGCAGUAGGAGCAGAGAAAAAGGAAGAGUCUGAUUCUCCGUGGGAUUCUGAGCCUGGUUCUGAUAGUCCAAGGAUGGCAUCUCUUGCUGUGUCUCUCCCAGCUGCAGAUGAACAUGGAGUAAGCUCGCUGAGUGUUUCAUGGGAGCACAAUGAGGAUGCCCAACCCGCAGUAGGAGCAGAGAAAGAGAAAGAGUCUGAUUCUCCCUGGGAUUCUGAGCCUUGUUCUGAAAGUCUGAAGAUGGCAUCACUUGCCUGUGCUCUCCCAGCGCAGAUGAA